UACGAGGGGUGCAAGCGUUAUUCGGAAUCAUUGGGCGUAAAGGGUGCGUAGACGGCUAUUCAAGUCAACUGUUUAAUUCUCCGGCCUAACUGGAGGCAUGCGGUAGAAACUGAUUAGCUAGAGGUUGGAAGAGAGAAGUGGAAUUCUCGGAGUAGCGGUAAAAUGCGUAGAUCUCGAGAGGAACACCGAUGGCGAAGGCAGCUUCUUGGUCCAAAUCUGACGUUGAGGCACGAAAGCGUGGGGAGCAAAC
rnacentral:rRNA from 1 species